UACGGAGGGUGCGAGCGUUAAUCGGAAUUACUGGGCGUAAAGGGUUCGUAGGUGGUUUGUUAAGUUGUCUGUGAAAUCCCUGGGCUUAACCUGGGCAGGUCAGACAAGACUGAUGGACUCGAGUAUGGGAGAGGGUAGUGGAAUUUCCGGUGUAGCGGUGAAAUGCGUAGAGAUCGGAAGGAACACCAGUGGCGAAGGCGGCUACCUGGCCUGAUACUGACACUGAGGAACGAAAGCGUGGGGAGCAAACAGG
rnacentral:rRNA from 1 species